rnacentral:rRNA from 1 species
AUUGAACGCUGGCGGCAUGCCUUACACAUGCAAGUCGAACGGUAACGGGCCUCCGGGUGCCGACGAGUGGCGAACGGGUGAGUAAUGUAUCGGAACGUACCUUUCAGUGGGGGAUAACGUAGCGAAAGUUACGCUAAUACCGCAUAUUCUGUGCGCAGGAAAGCAGGGGAUCGCAAGACCUUGCGCUGAUUGAGCGGCCGAUAUCAGAUUAGCUAGUUGGUGAGGUAAAGGCUCACCAAGGCGACGAUCUGUAGCGGGUCUGAGAGGAUGAUCCGCCACACUGGAACUGAGACACGGUCCAGACGCCUACGGGAGGCAGCAGUGGGGAAUUUUGGACAAUGGGGGCAACCCUGAUCCAGCCAUGCCGCGUGAGUGAAGAAGGCCUUCGGGUUGUAAAGCUCUUUCGGCCGGGAAGAAAUCGUAUCAGCUAAUACCUGGUGCGGAUGACGGUACCGGCAUAAGAAGCACCGGCUAACUACGUGCCAGCCGCCGCAGUAACAC